GGAUUUAAUCCCCCUCAAUCCCUAUGGAUUGGCACAAAACGAACAAGGCCUUAGGGUUUAAAUGGGUAUAACUUGAUGUCCUUUAUUUAUUUUUCCAAUGCAGAGCACUUCUAACAACAUCAUUACCAUUGAGGUGGCCCUUUUGAAUGUUAUCCUGGCAUUCAGAUGGGCUUUGUGCAAAUAUCUGUAUCACCACAUCAAUGGAAUAAGAAUAGAGCAUUGUCAGGUUUACCUACUUGUUCGUAAGCUUUUAUUAUGCAUGUGCAAUCUUCGUGGUUCCUGAAUGCUCAAUUAUUAUAAGCUGUCCAAAAAUAACUUCCAAGAUAUAUACAAAUUUCACGUCAUCUCAUUUUCAUCUCCAGUUGUUUUCCCCUUAUGCAUGGGUUCAACUUCACUUUCCACGGAAGACAUUCUGACUAAGUGCUGUUGUACUGCAUGUUUGUGUCAGCCCAGACUGCAGAAAGCCAUGCAAAACAGAUUAGGUGAUUGUAAGAUGUAGAAUUGUAGAUACAACCUAGGAUCUCUGACAAUUCUACUGACAAAUGGCUGUCAGAACUUUAUCAAGUUCAACUUAAGAGAUUAAAAUGUGAACAUGUGUGGUUAUGAUUAGAAGUAUCUUUUAGUCACAUGUGAUAUUGUGAUGCCUCUACAAACCAAGGAAAACAAAAACAGAUGAGACAUAAUGGACAAACCAUCAGUCCCCAGGUUUCUGAUACACUGUGCUUUCACGAACCCAAUCCGAGUGCAUGAUCAGGUUUACAAAAAAAAAUCAUUCAUGAAUCUAGUGGUCAGUCUAUCAAAUUGUUCCAUCAUCUUAGAAUAACACCUAAUAACAAAGCUAAAUAACUUGUCAUGCUGGGAAAGUAUAAGCUACUGCAAGCUUUUAUGCACAAUUUGUGCCCAUGGCCCACAAUGAGGAUAAUCACGCAAAAAAAAAUACAAGUUGCUAACUGAUGAUGUACUCCCUCUGUCUGUUUGACUUUUUUAGAUACAUUGUUUUUUAUAUACAUCUAGACAUAAUGUAUAUCUAAGUGCAUAGCAAAAGCCACAAGUCUAGAAAAAUCAAAACAUAUUAUAAUUUCGAACAGAGAGAGUAACAUCUAAACAAAUUCUAGCAUAGCUAGGAAUUUGUAAGACCUGGACUGCAGGCUGCAGCUGUAAUAUUCAAGCAUACAUACUACCCCACCAAAACAAGCUUUACAUAUAUGCAAUCAGUUAAAGUAUUGUGAUCAGUUAAACAUUCAGACACCACCACAUGAGGCGGUAUAAUGGAUCAGGUUUUCCUCUGCACUAUAUGCAAAUUAAAGUAGAGAUUUCACAAUGCAAGUGCUUGCUAACAUCAGUAUAUAGACCAGUUUUUUAUGUACAAAAAAUUGACUAGAACUUUUUCAGAGUGACAUACAUAUGCCAAUAAAAAGGUUUGGUAUACAAGGCCAUAGUGUACAAAAGAUAUAUAAAUCACCAAAGUUAUCGCCUAGACCCUAGAUAAAUACAUAUAUAUCUCCAAAAUAAUGCCCAACCAUGGCUGGCAGAGAGAACAUGUGACUAUUUAGAGUAGGACAUGGAAAUUUAGCACUGCGCAGCCGUCAGCUUCAUAAAAUAGUAGCUCAAAAGCAACAGCUUUAUGACUAUUUGCAGCCACACAAAUUCCACUUUCGACUAGGCUGACAAAAAAAGAAGAUCCCACCCCCACCCAAAGUGGUGGAGAACAAUUGAAGCUGCAACUGUAACUAUGAGAGAUGCAGUUUCAUUGCCAUAAUGAGGGAUGUAUACAAAGAAGUCACCAGACAUCGCACUCUUUUUGUGAGAGUCCUGUGCCCUAUAUAUAGGAUGAAAAGAACAUAAAUGGAAGGAUUCAAUCCGAACAAAAGGCGAUUGUUAGCUAUGCUCGUGUAAUGGAUAUUAAUAGAACUCAAAUAGCAUCUGUAGCUAACAUCUUAGUUGUGUCCUAGGAGUUUUACUGUUACUGCCCUUUUUGUAAGAGAUGUAAAUUUCUCCAGAAUCACACUUUGUCCAAGCUAAUCAAUUAUUGAAUACUAUGCUAAUCAAUUAUUGAAUACUAUGCUGAUUUCAUAAUAUAUGCCUGAAUGAAACAUCAAAAGGAAUGCUAAUUUAACGUGUUUGGUGUUUGCACAGUGCACACGAUUUAAAAAGUGCCCAAUGCAAAUACGUGAGUAAGUGAGUAACAUGGGAGCGAACUUUUUUUCCUCGAAUAAAAAAAACAUGGCAGUGAACUCGGUGACUGGGUUGAGCUAAUUUCCAUAUGAGUCCACUAGACUCAGUCAUACAGUAAAUCACAAUUUCCCCAUUCAGCUUGCAUACCGACCAGCGUUACUUCACGUACUGAAUAACGAGAAACCCACCGACCUCAUUGUCGGAAACCGGCUACGCAUCGUCG
rnacentral:lncRNA from 1 species